CUCAGAUUGAACGCUGGCGGCAGGCCUAACAACAUGCAAGUCGAACGGUAACAGGAAGCAGCUUGCUGCUUCGCUGACGAGUGGCGGACGGGUGAGUAAUGUCUGGGAAACUGCCUGAUGGAGGGGGGAUAAACUACUGGAAACGGUAGCUAAUACCGCAUAACGUCGCAAGACCAAAGAGGGGGACCUUCGGGCCUCUUGCCAUCGGAUGUGCCCAGAUGGGAUUAGCUAGUAGGUGGGGUAACGGCUCACCUAGGCGACGAUCCCUAGCUGGUCUGAGAGGAUGACCAGCCACACUGGAACUGAGACACGGUCCAGACUCCUACGGGAGGCAGCAGUGGGAAUAUUGCACAAUGGGCGCAAGCCUGAUGCAGCCAUGCCCGCGUGUAUGAAGAAGGCCUUCGGGUUAGUAAAGUACUUUCAGCGGGGAGGAAGGGAGUAAAGUUAAUACCUUUGCUCAUUGACGUUACCCGCAGAAGAAGCACCGGCUAACUCCGUGCCAGCCGCCGC
rnacentral:rRNA from 1 species